UACGGGGGGGGCAAGCGUUGUUCGGAAUUACUGGGCGUAAAGGGCGCGUAGGCGGCCUGCUAAGUCGGACGUGAAAUCCCUCGGCUCAACCGGGGAACUGCGUCCGAUACUGGUGGGCUCGAAUCCGGGAGAGGGAUGUGGAAUUCCAGGUGUAGCGGUGAAAUGCGUAGAUAUCUGGAGGAACACCGGUGGCGAAGGCGGCAUCCUGGACCGAGAUUGACACUGAUGAGCGAAAGCUAGGGGAGCAAACGGG
rnacentral:rRNA from 1 species